AUUGAACGCUGGCGGCAUGCCUUACACAUGCAAGUCGAACGGCAGCACGGGAGCAAUCCUGGUGGCGAGUGGCGAACGGGUGAGUAAUGUAUCGGAACGUGCCCAGUCGUGGGGGAUAACGUAGCGAAAGCUACGCUAAUACCGCAUACGAUCUAUGGAUGAAAGCGGGGGAUCGCAAGACCUCGCGCGAUUGGAGCGGCCGAUAUCAGAUUAGGUAGUUGGUGGGGUAAAGGCUCACCAAGCCGACGAUCUGUAGCUGGUCUGAGAGGACGGCCAGCCACACGGGGACUGAGACACGGCCCAGACUCCUACGGGAGGCAGCAUUGGGGAAUUUUGGACAAUGGGCGCAAGCCUGAUCCAGCAAUGCCGCGUGCAGGAUGAAGGCCUUCGGGUUGUAAACUGCUUUUGUACGGAACGAAACGGCGAGCUCUAAUACAGUUUGCUAAUGACGGUACCGUAAGAAUAAGCACCGGCUAACUACGUGCCAGCCGCCGCGGUAA
rnacentral:rRNA from 1 species